UACGUAGGGUGCGAGCGUUGUCCGGAAUUAUUGGGCGUAAAGAGCUCGUAGGCGGUGUGUCACGUCGGCCGUGAAAACCUGCAGCUUAACUGUGGGCGUGCGGUCGAUACGGGCAUCACUGGAGUUCGGCAGGGGAGACUGGAAUUCCUGGUGUAGCGGUGAAAUGCGCAGAUAUCAGGAAGAACACCGGUGGCGAAGGCGGCUCUCUGGGCCUUACCUGACGCUGAGGAGCGAAAGCGUGGGGAGCAAACAGG
rnacentral:rRNA from 1 species